AGGCACGUAGCUCAGUUGGUUAGAGUACCACCUUGACAUGGUGGGGGUCGUUGGUUCGAAUCCAAUCGUGCCUACCA
rnacentral:tRNA from 1 species